GGGUUGUGAGGUUAAGCGACUAAGCGUACACGGUGGAUGCCCUGGCAGUCAGAGGCGAUGAAGGGCGUGCUAAUCUGCGAUAAGCGCCGGUAAGGUGAUAUGAACCGUUAUAACCGGCGAUACCCGAAUGGGGAAACCCAGUGUGAUUCGUCACACUAUCAUUAACUGAAUCCAUAGGUUAAUGAGGCGAACCGGGGGAACUGAAACAUCUAAGUACCCCGAGGAAAAGAAAUCAACCGAGAUUCCCCCAGUAGCGGCGAGCGAACGGGGAGGAGCCCAGAGCCUGAAUCAGCAUGUGUGUUAGUGGAAGCGUCUGGAAAGGCGCGCGAUACAGGGUGACAGCCCCGUACACAAAAGCGCAUGUGCUGUGAGCUCGAUGAGUAGGGCGGGACACGUGGUAUCCUGUCUGAAUAUGGGGGGACCAUCCUCCAAGGCUAAAUACUCCUGACUGACCGAUAGUGAACCAGUACCGUGAGGGAAAGGCGAAAAGAACCCCGGCG
rnacentral:rRNA from 1 species